rnacentral:lncRNA from 1 species
GUUUCAUACACAUUGUAUAUAUGUAGCUAGUGAUGUAGAUACCCUUAUUCUGCCGUCCACCGUAAAAACGCCGUAUCUCCAUUCGUCACUUUUUCGAUUUUUUUUAAGACAAAAUGCCGUUUUACAGAAAACCUAACAAAUAUUCAUCCUUCAUUUUUUCAAUUCAACUCCGCCAUACCAUUAGGAACUAACAAUGAAAAAAUGAAGCCUUGAGGCAAUUGAAUUUUCUUGUAAUAGAGCAGUACGUGCUGGAUAAAAAAAAAACUCGAGUGGAGUUACGGCGUUUUUGCUGUGGACGGCAGUAUUUCUCAAUAGAAAAACAUUUGAUCUUUUAUAAUUUUCUCAGGGUAUGAAGCAGUGGAGUGUGGAAUUACCGGGCAUACCUAUCACUUUAGCCUCAAUUCCUAUAAUGAGUUUGGCGCUGAAACUGGUUGCAGUUUCGUGCCGGUUCAGGGACGAAAACCAGUCAUUUGUUCUUUUAUUCGGGCCCUCAGCUUAUGCAUUCCAUUGCGACCCCACAACCUGUGUCCGCAAUUAUAUUCGGUCCGUAUGGUCAAGGAGAAAGCGCUCUCAUCACAAUUUCGACAAGGGGCAGUCUGAACAUACGGCUAUUAAAGAGGACGGCUCAAUUUGGAUGUGGUGAGAGAGCAGGAAUUUUAGCUCUCCCUCCUCCUACUUCUCAAAUUAAGCUGAAUGUUCCAAAAAAAGCAAGCUCUUGGUCGAACAAACCCUCAGAGAACGUGAGCAAAAGAUAGAGAUUUACGAGCAAUGGAAGCGAUCGUGGCUUCAUCUGAAUGUUAUGGCAUGCGAGGAGUACUUGAAAGCCCUUCAAAGUUCAGCUGUAUCUCAAAAUAACUCGCUGAAACUUACAGCUCAGGUGCUGGGAUUAGGGCCUCACUUAAAGAUUCAAGUUUUUCUCCAGAAUCUCUCUAAAAAGGAAGCAUUUACUUCACUGACGGUUGUCUUUCACUACAACAAAAGUGUGUUUAAAAUGGAUUCACCAUCUAGACAGGUGCCAAUGCUGGUUCCCAAUUACGAGUGUUGCGUGGAGUCAUACAUUGUGUGCGAAAUGAGUGUCAGCAGCAAUGUAACGGUUCUAGUUUUUGACGAACAACUCCGACUGUCAGCAUUCAUCAAUAUUCCGGCAUGUAACUGCAUCUGCUCAUCGCAAUGA